rnacentral:rRNA from 1 species
CCUACGGGGUGCAGCAGUAGGGAAUCUUCCACAAUGGGCGAAAGCCUGAUGGAGCAACGCCGCGUGGGUGAAGAAGGUCUUCGGAUCGUAAAACCCUGUUGUUAGAGAAGAAAGUGCGUGAGAGUAACUGUUCACGUUUCGACGGUAUCUAACCAGAAAGCCACGGCUAACUACGUGCCAGCAGCCGCGGUAAUACGUAGGUGGCAAGCGUUAUCCGGAUUUAUUGGGCGUAAAGGGAACGCAGGCGGUCUUUUAAGUCUGAUGUGAAAGGCUUUGGCUGAACCGGAGUUGGGUAUUUGAAAACGGGGGACUUGAGUGCCAGAGAAGAGGGUGGAACUCCAUGUGUAGCGGUGAAAUGCGUAGAUAUAUGGAAGAACACCAGUGGCGAAAGCGGCUCUCUGGUCUGUAACUGACGCUGAGGUUCGAAAGCGUGGGUAGCAAACAGGAUUAGAUACCCGAGUAGUC